AUUGAACGCUGGCGGCAGGCCUAACACAUGCAAGUCGAACGAGUGGCGGACGGGUGAGUAAUGUCUGGGAAACUGCCUGAUGGAGGGGGAUAACUACUGGAAACGGUAGCUAAUACCGCAUACCAUCAGAUGUGCCCAGAUGGGAUUGGCUGGUUGGUGGGGUAACGGCUCACCAAGGCGACGAUCCCUAGCUGGUCUGAGAGGAUGACCAGCAACACUGGAACUGAGACACGGCCCAGACUCCUACGGGAGGAAGAAGUGGGGAAUAUUCGACAAUGGGCGCAGGCCUGAUACAGACAUACCGCGUGGAUGAAGAAGGCCUUCGGGUUGUAAAGUACUUUCAUCGGGGAGGCGUUACCCGCAGAAGAAGCACCGGCUAACUCCGUGCCAGCAGCCGCGGUAAUUC
rnacentral:rRNA from 1 species